rnacentral:ribozyme from 11 species
GAGCCUGUCGCUCUCGGGGAUGACAAUGUUUGCACUGCAAACCUCGGCAAGGAGCAAGACGGAAAGAGCCAUAA